GGGGAGUCCGAAGUUAAUGGUUAAAACCUGUCUUAAGGAUUGCACUGCCUUUAUCUGUUGUAUGAGUACCAUUAUAAUAUUAAUAAUUAUUUUCUGACUAAAGUUGGAGUUUUAUGACAUGUAUUGUCAUUUAAUUUAUAUGGAAGAUGUUGCAAAGUCCAGUGGGAAUAUGCAGAAUGCCUUUAAAGUGCAAGAACUAUUUUCUUGGCAUUUUCCAUUCAUAACUGAAGAGGAUCCACAUGUAUUGCAAGCCAGGAGUAGGACAUUAUAUAAAAUUUGACUAUAAUUUUAAAAGUGUUAACACUUAAAAACCUUUGAUAGAUGAGUAAUCAUUUUCAAUACCAUAAUAUACACAUUCUUUUGACAUUGGAAUUUUACAGGCCUUGGGAGUUUAGAACUUUAAUGUUGCACUAUCCUCUGCAACUGGGGAUUAUUGAUAAGCUAAGGAAAACACUGCUUACUGUUCUUACAACUUCUAUAUGUGGACAUAGAUUCCUGUCUACCCAUUGAGAGAUUUCAGAUCUUAUGGGGACAGAAUCAUAUUUACUAUCUUACAGAUUUUCUCAUUCGUUUUAAACAUUACAAAUUUAAUUUUGUAAAAAUAUGAGAAUUUAAGGGCUGAAAAUAUGAGAGAAAGACAGACAGAGGAUGACAAUUUCUGGUCCAGGUUUACUUGGCAGAAUAUGUAAAUGCUGGGUUUCUACUGCAUGCUCUCUCCUGGAAACCAGAAUCCUCAUCUUUAGGAGCAUGCUACUUUCUUUCCUUUUAACAGAAGUUUUCUGAUGUCUUCAAUCCCCUGUGUAUUCAUUUGGCUCCUCUUCUUGCUACAAGAUGUUCAAUUAAACAGGAAGGUAGAGCUGGGAAUGUGGCACAGUGGUUGAGUGCUUGCCUAGCACAUGUGAAGCCAUGUUAAAAUAUAUUGGCUCUCCUUUAAACCAAUGGUGGCUCACACCUGUAAUCCCAGUACUUGGAGAGUCAGUAGGAUUUUCAGGAGUUCAAGGGAAGCUUGAGAUAAAUAUGAAUGUGAGGCCAGUCUAAACUACAGUGGGAGACAUGGCCCAUGAAGGAAACAAAGAUACUACAGUGUGUGUUACAUGGGGUUGGUGCUAUUUCUGGCUCUAUUAAUUUUAACUUUGAAUAGCUCAAUUCAGAAAGAAAUGAAGUUGAUCCUAUGUUAACUUUAAUGGUGAAGAAAAUCAAUGAGAAAGAAAUUCAAGAGGAAGUAUUAGCUAACUUAAGCAAAAAAUAUCCUGCAGUAAGCACAUAGAUUUUAUAGGCAAGGUUAUUUAAAGCAAAUAAGUUUCUAUCUCAAGCUAUCAAGUAUUCUUACACAGUCCAAGCAUCUGUAGUCAUCACAUCUAAGCAGGUGUUUUCUCAGGCAUUUGGAUUUCUAUAGAAUCAUAGUAUUAAAAUUUCAAAGUAAUAACAUUGCUUUUUAAGUUAUUUGUCCUUUUAAAAAAAUUUUGAAAGUAAUUCUGGAAAUAUACCCUACUGGUAUUCCAGUCAAACUACUAAAGCUUUGUAUCUGACUGAACUGCUUCUAAAUUUUAGGAACUUUCUUUUUUAAAGUCUGUUUUUAUGUGAGUGUUCCUGUGAAACUGAGGUCUGAUGACUCUUCCUUAAGCAAUUACAACUUCAUUAGCAUACAUAAGGUUCAAUUAAAUAAGAAACACUGUAUAUUUGUGUGUUUAAAGUCUUAUAGGAGAGCCUCAGGAAAAUCUUUAUUCUGAAGAACUAGCAGGGUAAAUGUAAGAGGCACCAUUGCAAGAAUGGCCUCAGCAUAGUAGUUUUACAAAAUGGCCACCAUUUUACUAGGUGCUGCAAUUCCAUGUUGGUGAUAGUGGUUAAUACUUGGUUCCAGAAUCAUUGGAUACUUUAAUGAUUUGCCAUUGUCACUGUUGUUAACAUUCCUGUUGCUGAGCACCCCUGGCAUGUCUAUUAAAGUACAGUUAGUCUGUGUGACUCUCAGUGGUGACCUAGUGAGAAAUCUGACUCACUCAGAACAGUUUAUUCUCUUAAUGGGUUAGGUUCUGAAAUCUGCUAAGUCUGCUAAUGAUAUACAGAUGUGAGUGUGUAUGUGUGUGUAUGUUCUCUUAUAACAUAAACCACUUUUUAGUUUUGUAAACAUUAAUAAUAAACAUUAGAUUUUGGUUUCUUCAUUGUAUGGAAAUAUGAGACAUGUAUUUUAUAGAUGAACUAUAUGAUGUCUGCUGUAAACAAAGGUGCUGCCUGUGUCAUGGGUGGACUUGUUGGCUGUCCUUUGUUCACUGAUGUUCAUCUGUUAUUUGUAUGAUCCAGUUUGGUUUCUGAUUUGUCUUGUUUGUCAUCACUGUGACAAAUCAUCUGAGAUAAUUAAGUUACAAAGACAAAAGGUUUAUUUUGGCUCAAAGUGUUGGAGAUUCUAUUCCACAAUCAACUGAAGUCUGUGGUUGGGCCUGUCAUGAAGUAGCAAGUAGUGUCAUGACAGAGGAAGAGAGCAGGACACAACUCCUUUGCUCAUUAGCCACAUCACAAAGUAAGAGACAUUGGCCCCACAGUCUUUCAAAGGCAGCCUUCAACAGACACAGAACCACCCAUUGGCCUCCAUCUUUCAGAUGCUUUACCACCUCCCAAUAGCACUAUUCUGGAGAUCAAGCCCUUAAUACAGGGACCUUUGGGAGACACACCAGGGUCCAAACUAAAUCACUAUCCAGUCAAUCUCAAAUCUGCUUUUCUGGUUUACCAUUAAGAAUUAGCUUACAGUGGACAUAAUUGCUGAAUUUUUAAAUGAUUGUUACUAGAAAUACUGGUAAUAACAGAAAUAACAAAGAUUGGGAAAUUAAUUUUAGGCACAGACAAUGAUAACUAUUAUCCAUUCAUAUAAUCAGCAAAUGUUUUGAAAUUCACUUAAUAAGACUCAACCAGAAUUGAGUAUAUUGGAUAGAUUUAAAUAAAAAAGAUUGUCAUAGGGUCUCUGUAUUCCUAUAUAUACAAAGGUAACUUGUAUCUUUUACUUAAAAAUUAUAUUAUUAACAAGGUAAAUAUAUCCUAAUACUAUGUGUUUAUUAUAUACUAUAUAGUCAAGAAUACUAAGUUGUAGAAAUAUUUAGAAAGCAUACCUUUGAAUUUAAGUAUCUAAUGCCUCAAGCAAAUCUGCUAGUUUCAGAAGAAUAUAUAUUUUUGUAACUGCAAGAAUAUGAGUAGAUCAUAGCUUUUGCUUAAAAUAUUUUUGUAAGCAUUCAUUUACACAUACUCAUUUUAAUAGUAAAAUAUUAAACUGAUUCUGUAAAAGAACCUGUUUUGACUAUGUCUAUAUUUAAUAUUAUGUAAUAUCC
rnacentral:lncRNA from 1 species